CCUACGGGAGGCAGCAGUGGGGAAUAUUGGACAAUGGGCGAAAGCCUGAUCCAGCAAUGCCGCGUGAGUGAUGAAGGCCUUCGGGUCGUAAAGCUCUUUUACCAGGGAUGAUAAUGACAGUACCUGGAGAAUAAGCUCCGGCUAACUCCGUGCCAGCAGCCGCGGUAAUACGGAGGGAGCUAGCGUUGUUCGGAAUUACUGGGCGUAAAGAGUACGUAGGCGGUUAUUCAAGUCAGAGGUGAAAGCCCGGGGCUCAACCCCGGAACUGCCUUUGAAACUAGAUAACUAGAGUCUUGGAGAGGUUAGUGGAAUUCCGAGUGUAGAGGUGAAAUUCGUAGAUAUUCGGAAGAACACCAGUGGCGAAGGCGACUAACUGGACAAGUACUGACGCUGAGGUACGAAAGCGUGGGGAGCAAACAGGAUUAGAUACCCUGGUAGUCCACGCCGUAAACGAUGAUAACUAGUUGUUCGGUCACUUGGUGACUGAGUGACGCGGCUAACGCAUUAAGUUAUCCGCCUGGGGAGUACGGUCGCAAGNUUAAAACUCAAAGGAAUUGACGGCUGAGAAGUGCGAGCGACACGAGGAGAGG
rnacentral:rRNA from 1 species